rnacentral:rRNA from 1 species
CGUAGGGUGCGAGCGUUAAUCGGAAUUACUGGGCGUAAAGCGUGCGCAGGCGGUUUUGUAAGACAGAUGUGAAAUCCCCGGGCUCAACCUGGGACCUGCAUUUGUGACUGCAAGGCUAGAGUACGGUAGAGGGGGAUGGAAUUCCGCGUGUAGCAGUGAAAUGCGUAGAUAUGCGGAGGAACACCGAUGGCGAAGGCAAUCCCCUGGACCUGUACUGACGCUCAUGCACGAAAGCGUGGGGAGCAAACAGGAUUAGAUACCCUGGUGGUCCACGCCCUAAACGACGUCAACUGGUUGUUGGGUCUUUACUGACUCAGUAACGAAGCUAACGCGUGAAGUUGACCGCCUGGGGAGUACGGCCGCAAGGUUG